CCCUUAGAUGUUCUGGGCCGCACGCGUGCUACACUGAGUGGAUCAGCGGGUCAGGUUGCGCGAAAGCGUUUCCUAAUCUUUAAAUCCGCUCGUGAUGGGGAUUGACGGUUGCAAUUUUCUGUCAUGAACGAGGAAUACCUUGUAAGCGCGGGUCAUCAUCCCGCGCUGAAUACGUCCCUGCCCUUUGUACACACCGCCCGUCGCACCUACCGAUUGAAUGGUCCGGUGAGGCCUCGGGAUUGUGGCCAGUUUCCUUUAUUGGGAGUUGGCUGCGAGAACUUGUCCAAACCUUAUCAUUUAGAGGAAGGUGAAGUCGUAACA
rnacentral:rRNA from 1 species